AGAAUCAACGCUGGCGGCGUGCCUAACACAUGCAAGUCGAACGAGAAAGUGGAGCAAUCCAUGAGUAAAGUGGCGACCGGGUGAGUAACACGUGACUAACCUACCUUCGAGUGGGGGAUAACCUCGGGAAACCGGGGCUAAUACCGCAUAAUAUCCACGGAUCAAAGGAGCAAUUCGCUUGAAGAGGGGUCGCGGCUGAUUAGUUAGUUGGCGGGGUAAUGGCCCACCAAGGCGAUGAUCGGUA
rnacentral:rRNA from 1 species